rnacentral:rRNA from 1 species
GGACUACUGGGGUUUCUAAUCCCGUUUGCUCCCCUAGCUUUCGCGCCUCAGCGUCAGAAGAGGUCCAGCACGCCGCUUUCGCCACCGGAGUUCCUGAGGAUAUCAACGCAUUUCACCGCUCCACCCACAGUUCCGCAUGCCCCUACCUCCCUCGAGGCCGACAGUAUCUAAGGCAGUUCCACGGUUGAGCCGCGGCAUUUCACCCCAGACUUGUCAGCCCGCCUACGCGCCCUUUAAGCCCAGUGAUUCCGAACAACGUUCGCACGGUUCGUCUUACCGCGGCUGCUGGCAC